UACAGAGGGUGCGAGCGUUAAUCGGAAUUACUGGGCGUAAAGCGUGCGUAGACGGUUAUGUAAGUCGGAUGUGAAAGCCCCGGGCUUAACCUGGGAAUUGCAUUCGAGACUGCAUAGCUAGGAUGCGGAAGAGGGAAGUGGAAUUUCCGGUGUAGCGGUGAAAUGCGUAGAUAUCGGGAGGAACACCAAUGGCGAAGGCAGCUUGCUGGGACGGUACUGACGCUGAGACGCGAAAGCGUGGGGAGCAAACAGG
rnacentral:rRNA from 1 species